CAACGAUGGAUAGGGGUUCUGAGAGGAAGGUCCCCCACAUUGGAACUGAGACACGGUCCAAACUCCUACGGGAGGCAGCAGUGAGGAAUAUUGGUCAAUGGGCGAGAGCCUGAACCAGCCAAGUAGCGUGAAGGAUGAAGGCUCUAUGGGUCGUAAACUUCUUUUAUAUGGGAAUAAAGUAUUCCACGUGUGGAAUUUUGUAUGUACCAUAUGAAUAAGGAUCGGCUAACUCCGUGCCAGCAGCCGCGGUAAUACGGAGGAUCCGAGCGUUAUCCGGAUUUAUUGGGUUUAAAGGGAGCGUAGGUGGAUUGUUAAGUCAGUUGUGAAAGUUUGCGGCUCAACCGUAAAAUUGCAGUUGAAACUGGCAGUCUUGAGUACAGUAGAGGUGGGCGGAAUUCGUGGUGUAGCGGUGAAAUGCUUAGAUAUCACGAAGAACUCCGAUUGCGAAGGCAGCUCACUAGACUGUCACUGACACUGAUGCUCGAAAGUGUGGGUAUCAAACAGGAUUAGAUACCCUGGUAGUCCACACAGUAAACGAUGAAUACUCGCUGUUUGCGAUAUACAGUAAGCGGC
rnacentral:rRNA from 1 species